UAGUAACGGCGAGUGAAGAGGGAAAAGCUCAAAUUUUGAAUCUGGUGUCUUUGACUCCCGAGUUGUAAUCUAGAGAAGUGUUUUCCGCGUUGGACCGUGUACAAGUUCCCUGGAACGGGGCGUCAUAGAGGGUGAGAAUCCUGUAUAUGCCACGGACUACCAAUGCUCUGUGAUACACUCUCAACGAGUCGAGUUGUUUGGGAAUGCAGCUCAAAAUGGGUGGUAAAUUCCAUCUAAAGCUAAAUAUUGGCGAGAGACCGAUAGCGAACAAGUACCGUGAGGGAAAGAUGAAAAGCACUUUGGAAAGAGAGUGAAACAGUACGUGAAAUUGUUGAAAGGGAAGCGUUUGAAGUCAGUCACGUCUGUCGGAAUUCAGCCUGGCUUCUGCCUGGUGUACUUUCCGUCCGACGGGUCAGCAUCAAUUUUGAUCGAGGGAAAAAGACAUGAGGAAUGUGGCUGUCUUCGGGCAGUGUUAUAGACUCGUGUUGUAUGUCUCGGUUGGGAUUGAGGAACGCAGCGCGCCUAUUGGCCGGGGGUUCGCGCCCCUCGGUACGCGCUUAGGA
rnacentral:rRNA from 1 species